rnacentral:ncRNA from 1 species
UCAAAAUCUAAGAAGAGGAUUAGUAAAAUCAUAUCUUUUUUAGAGAGGAAACGGAAGGUGAAAGUUUCCAAAGAAUGUUUUGAACCUACCUUGGAGUUCUGUAAUAUAAAAUUACAGCGGCAGAGCUGUCGUUAUGACUUGAGAGAAUAUAUUUUAAAGCUUGGAAUAUAUUAAUCAGGGUGGUAUCGCCGAUAUAACCUCGGUCCCUAUU